rnacentral:rRNA from 1 species
GCCUCCUCCUCCUCUCUUCUCUGUCUGUCUCUCUCAUUUUUCCUCCCCAACUAAGGUUGCCGCUGCCGCCGCCCCAUCGCUCCCCACCGGAGAAAGGCCUGCUUCUCCCUAGGGUCUUCUACUCUUGGGGCUAAUCUGACAGGAAGGGCGGCGCUGCUCCUCCCCCGACAGCAAGGCGGGUGUCCUGCACGCUCACCAGCGAGGGAGAGGUUGCCACCUCUCCUCACCUCCUCCCAGGUUCCCGGCUCGAGUGGAGAGGGAUAGCUGCGUCCACAGGUGAAGGCGUUGCUGAGAACUGCCCCUUGUCCUUGUCGAUGGGGAGAAGGGAGCAACAACCUCUUUCUCUAAAAAAGGGAGCACCAACCGUAGCAGGUGGUGGUGUGGGCAAACGCGUUGGAGCCGCUUCGGCUUCUUCCAGCGGCUGUCUCUCCCCCGCCCUCAACAUCUCGCCGGAGCCACCGGAUUUCAGUGCCAAGGGAGAAUAGAAUCAACCGCGUGGCGCGGCCACAAACGCUGGUGAACGUCUCAGAUAUCAAUCAUGGUUACAUCCGGGAGGAAGAGGAGGGAGAGAAAGAGAUGGAUUGGGGAAGAAGAGGAGAUUUGUGAAGUUCUUGUCUACGUGUGGUGAAACAGAGGUGACCAACGAGGACGUCGAGGCCAACUUUUCACCGCAUAUCAAGCCAUGGAACAAUGAAGAACUUAGCAAGGAAUACCCAAACGGUCUACUGUUAUAAUUAUGCGUGCAUUUUGGAUCUAUUGGAUGUCUGGAUGUGCCGCAGAUCCACAUUCACUGAUGCAAAGGGCUCAGGAUAAGGAUUUCCUGAUCUUCUGCUUGCCACAUCUUGGUAUUUCUCAUCUGAACAUGAAUUCAGAAUGUUCCCUUUUGCAUCCAAGUGCAGCUUUGACAUGUUGUGAUGGAAUUACCAACCAAGAUCACAUCAAGCAGCAACAAUGUAGCCUUUAGUUUUUAACAAGUGCACUCUUCAGUGUCUGAUGAAUUAUUAACUUGCAAAGACUGCUUGAUGUGGUGGAGAUAGUUACAGUACACCAAGGAAAACAAAUGCGAUGUUGAUACAUGCAAGUAUUGUUUUAUUUUCAAUAUAAAAGUGCCAAAUUUAGCUUGUGCAAGGUUCAACAUUCGAGGCUGGGUGUGAUGAAAGCUUGCAGCCCAUAAUUGGCAUGGUCUUUGUUUGAUGGAAAUUCAGCGAGUGAUGGUGAUGUGAUCGAAGAUGACCCUGUUUUGUUGAGAUGGCUGGCUCCAUCCUGCUCCAGCGUCGCCGCCCGUCAACCCAACAAACACAAGAGGCAUUAACAGGAGAAGCACAACGCAGAUUAUGUUCCUCUAUGUUUAUAAGGUCUUUGAAGAAAAUCCAAGAAGGCUGACAGGGUUCGACCAUCGAGUUGGCUACACAUAGUUUCCUGGGUAAUGUUCACUCUGGUGAAACAUGUUAUGUUGAAGAGAAGUAUGGAAAUCCACCAGUCUUCAUUACUGAGAAUGGUAGGUCACUGAAGUUUGUACUGUUGCCAGCUGAUAAGAUUUUUUUCCCUUAAAUAAAUUCUCAGUUGAUAAGUUGAUGCAUUACCACAACGACUACAUGCCAGCCUCCUAGGUGCUGUAAGAUGGUUUCAUUUUUCUGUGCAUAUGCCAGAACUGAACCACCAACACUGAGCAUCAGCAACGUGUGCCACUGUAAUCGUUGUUCUGGAUAUAGAAGACCAUGAACCCGUAAUGUGUACUACUUCAUAUAAUGCAUUUGAUUCUAUGAGAUACUAUUUGAGAGAUAAGUUCCUAUGUAUGGGUUACACUUCAUAUAAUGCAUUUGAUUCUAUGAUAUACUAUCUUUCCUACAUGACCUUCGUAUGCGGCAUUUCUUUGCCUAAUUUACUUGCUGGUGAUUACAUAAAGAAACGGUGAGACAUUUAAUCUGCUCAUGAGCCAAUGUUCACUUACAUAACACAGUUUCUAAACCAUGUGCAUAACUAGACUAGGAGCACACAAGCCCGCCUCAGGUGGCGCCACCAGGUGGCGCCCCAGCCUCUAGUAUGAUUAUACAUGCUGCUCUAGGAUGAAGGCUCCACACCUUCCCUUUUCGUGUGAAUUUAAUGAUAAUGAAACCUUGACUUCUUAUGCUAAUGGUAUAUAUGAUUACUAUGAUGUGGAACGAAUAGAAGAAUUUGUUGCUUUUAAGGGUGCUUAUGCAAUUGAAUCUUCAUUUGAAAAGUGUGAAAAUUAUGAUGAUGUCGUUUACAGACCUGAAAAUUAUGCUAUACUUAAAUAUUGCUAUGAGAAUUAUGAGUAUAAUGCCGAUAUUAAUGAGUUUAUUGAGAAAGUCUCCGCUGUCCAAGAAGAGACUAAUAUUUUGCAGGAAUCUAUGGAAGAAGAAAUUGAUGACAUUGUGAGCUCAUUGGAUGAAAAAGAUGACAAGGAGAGCGAAGAACAAAAGGAGAAAGAGUGGAUUAGCUACCCGUGCCCACCUUCUAAUGAGAGUUCACACAAAGAGGGAGAAUACCGGCAGCUGGAAUUCUGGACCUGAAAAAGCUACGUCAGGCCACCUAUUCUGCACAUCUCCAAAUGAGCUGAAACUUCACGAAGAUUUUUAUGGAAUAUUUAAGAAUUAUUGUAGCAAAUAACUACUAGAGGGGGCCCACCAGGUGGUCACAACCCACCUGGGCGCGCCAGGGAGCCCAGGCACGCCCUGGUGGGUUGUGCCCUCCUCGGCCCACCUCCGGUGCCCUUCUUCUGGUAUAUAAGUCAUUUUGACCUAGAAAAAAAAGGAGAGGACUUUCGGGACGAAGCGCCGCCGUCUCGAGGCGGAACUUGGGCAGGAGCACUUUUGCCCUCCGGCGGAGCGAUUCCGCCGGGGGAACUUCCCUCCCGGAGGGGGAAAUCAUCGUCAUCAUCAUCACCAACAACUCUCCCGUCUUGGGGAGGGCAAUCUCCAUCAACAUCUUCAGAAGCACCAUCUCCUCUCAAACCCUAGUUCAUCUCUUGUGUUCAAUCUUUGUACCGGAACCUUAGAUUGGUGCUUGUGGGUGACUAGUAGUGUUGAUUACAUCUUGUAGUUGAUUACUAUAUGGUUUAUUUGGUGGAAUAUUAUAUGUUCAGAUCCAUUAUGCUAUUUAAUACCCCUCUGAUCUCGAGCAUGAUUAUAAUUUGUGAGUAGUUACUUUUGUUCUUGAGGUCACGGGAGAAAUCUUGU